UACGGAGGGUGCAAGCGUUAUCCGGAUUCACUGGGUUUAAAGGGUGCGUAGGCGGUUGAUUAAGUCAGUGGUGAAAGCUCGCAGCUUAACUGUGAAACUGCCAUUGAAACUGAUUAACUUGAGUACAAUUGAAGUGGGCGGAAUACAUCAUGUAGCGGUGAAAUGCUUAGAUAUGAUGUAGAACACCGAUUGCGAAGGCAGCUCACUAAAUUGCAACUGACGCUGAGGCACGAAAGCGUGGGUAGCGAACAGG
rnacentral:rRNA from 1 species